CCUCACCCUGUCACCCGUCUACUCGCACUUCUCCGAGACGCUGACCGGGCUCGGUACCAUCCGGGCCAGCGGCCACGCUGCCAGGUUUGAGGAUGAAAAUGCCAGGCGGCUGGAGCAGAACCAACGCUGCCUGUUUCUUAGCAAUGCUGCCAUGCAAUGGCUGGACAUCCGCUUGCAGCUGAUUGGUGUUGCUGUGGUAACGGGUCUGGGGGUGAUUGCCAUCAUUCAGCACCAGUAUAGUUCUGUAGAUCCAGGUUUGGUGGGUUUGUCCCUUUCCUACGCGCUGUCCAUCACAAUGCUGCUGUCCGGCCUCAUAUUCAGCUUCACACAGACGGAGAUGCAGCUGGUGAGUGUGGAGCGAACACAG